rnacentral:rRNA from 1 species
GGGGAAUAUUGGACAAUGGGCGCAAGCCUGAUCCAGCCAUGCCGCGUGAGUGAUGAAGGUCUUCGGAUUGUAAAACUCUUUCGCCGGGGAAGAUAAUGACGGUACCCGGAGAAGAAGCUCCGGCUAACUUCGUGCCAGCAGCCGCGGUAAUACGAAGGGAGCUAGCGUUGUUCGGAAUUACUGGGCGUAAAGCGCACGUAGGCGGAUUUUUAAGUCAGGGGUGAAAUCCCAAGGCUCAACCUUGGAACUGCCUUUGAUACUGGAAGUCUCGAGAUCGGGAGAGGUGAGUGGAAUUCCUAGUGUAGAGGUGAAAUUCGUAGAUAUUAGGAAGAACACCAGUGGCGAAGGCGGCUCACUGGCCCGAUACUGACGCUGAGGUGCGAAAGCGUGGGGAGCAAAC